GAUGAACGCUGGCGGCGUGCCUAAUACAUGCAAGUCGAACGAGGUGCUUUUGUAGCAAUACGAGGGUAUCCUAGUGGCGAACGGGUGAGUAACGCGUUGGUGACCUGCCCCGAAGUGUGGGAUAACAGUCCGAAAGGAUUGCUAAUACCGCAUGUGGCCAUCGGGUUUAGAAACCGAUGUCUAAAGCAGCAAUGCGCUUUGGGAGGGACCUGCGUCCCAUCAGCUAGUUGGUGAGGUAACGGCUCACCAAGGCGACGACGGGUAGGGGGCCUGAGAGGGUGGCGCCCCACAAUGGAACUGAAACACGGUCCAUACACCCACGGGUGGCAGCAGUAGGGAAUAUUGCACAAUGGGCGAAAGCCUGAUGCAGCAACGCCGCGUGAGCGAAGAAGGCCUUCGGGUUGUAAAGCACUUUCGGGAGGGAAGAAGUGCAACCGGUAAAUAAUCGGUUGUGUUGACGGUACCUCCAUAAGAAGCUCCGGCUAACUCC
rnacentral:rRNA from 1 species